rnacentral:lncRNA from 1 species
AUCUCUAUUUCAAGCAACAGGGUAGAAGGGCAGAAAAAGCAAGAAUAUUGGUGUAUGCUUGCUGUUUUUUGAGAAUGGUUUCUGUGUCACGUUAAAUUUAGUGAAGUCGCCUUUAGUUCUUGACUGAAGGCUAGAAAUAAGACCAGAUCUGUCAACUUUUCUGUUACUCAAGACCUCUGGAUAGAUUUAUAGAGGAAAUAUAAGGACACAAGCAUCUUUUAAAGUUGAAGCUCUGUUCAUCCCUCAAGGUAAUAAAAUAGGUAGAAUUUACUAUAAUUACAUUCCUUUCUAAAUUGUAAUAUAUAUAUUUAUAUAUAUAUAUAUAUUUUUUUCCCCAGCCCAAUAAUUGUUAAUACAUUUGAAAAGUAAGGGUUUUUUUUUGGCCUGUUUCCUCAUUACUACACAUUCCUAAUUCUUUAUCGUCCUUGUCUUGUUGUUUCUUCUUUCUAGGACACAUCUUUAAGUUAACUCAAAAUGAUACUGGGGCUUCAAAAGAAUAACUGUCAGAGAAAUGUUUCCAACUAGGAAGUUUCAUUCAAUUAAAAUAAAGUGAGCUGUAUUUCAUCAGAAUAGGUAAUGUUCUAGAAUUCCAAGGCAGAGAAAAUUGCAUCUACAGGUCAGGCUGCUUUUAUUUAUGGUUUUAUUAAAUUGUAUUGUUUAUUACCAUGUACAAGUUUAUAACCCACACAGUGAUAUUAUGAAAUAUAUAUUUGGUCUUUGUUCCUGUUUCCUGGCACAUAACUCCUAAAAUCUUUGAAAUCUUCAAAGUACUAAGUGUCUUUUAUAAAUGAGUCGACUGAUGGCUGGCAGUCCCUAGGUAGCCUUGGGAUAGGGCUGGGGAUUGAUCACCAGAAAGACCAAGGUAGGAUUAGAGGUUUAGGACUUUUAGGCCCACCUCCCAACCUCCCAGGAGGGGAGAAAGGCUGAAAGUUAAGUUGAUCACCAAUGGCUUAUAAUUUAAUCAAUCAUGCCUACAAAAUGAAGCCUUCAUAAAAGCCGAAUGAUAGAGUUUAGAUGAGUUUCUGGAUAACUGAACACAUGGAGGUCCCUGGAAGGUGGCUUGAAUGGGGAGAACAUGAAAACUCUGCACCCCUUCCCUCAUACCUCACCCUACGCAUCCCUUCAUCUGUAUCCAUUGAAAUAUCCUUUAUAAUAAACAAGUAAAUGUGUU